AGUGUCAUGUGUGAUUCGGCGUGCGAGCUACUUCAAAUUUUUUUGAAUUUACUCGCACUCGCAUCCCUCAAAACGUCAAAAACAGAAUUUAGCGCUCGAAUCAGGGAUGCCAAAUCUUUACAUUGUCUUUACAUGUCUCUAUUUUUAAGAUAUUUGAAAAUAUGCGAAGAUUAUUAUAGACUUGAAAAUUAUUGAAAAAACAAAUAAAACCCUCAUAGUUUCUAAGCGGAAUCGUUGUUAUUAAACGGUUUUAUUUAGCUUGCCCUGUAAUCUGUUUGUAUGUUUGUAACAUGUCCCACAUUAGUAGAAAUUUGACCCCCUUCUUGUUGACCGAUUGAUCUGAAAUUUGGAACACACCUUUAUCUCUGUAGUCAUUACAAAACUGCGUAUUUCAUUAUCUUGUAAAUCCAAGAUAGAGGCCGCUACAAAAUGGCGGAUCCCUUUCUUCCUCAAAACCUCAUCAAUGUGGGUUUUCCAAAACCCCAUCAAUAUGGGUAUCAAAUGAAAGGGCUUGACUAGCAGAAUACAGUUAUUUAAGAAAAAUGCAAAUCCAAGAUGGCUGCCACUACUAAAUGGCGGACUACAUAGUUUCCCAAAACUUCAUUAAUAUGGGUGUUGGGGGGAAGCAAACUACGCCACUGAUGACUUGAUCUGAACCUGCGCAUCCGGACGGUGCCACUCCAUGACGCACCCAGACAAUCAUUGACAGCUAGCUGUCAUCACUGUCAUUCUGAAAACUUCUCUCGUACCACACAUUCUUUGCUAAUCACAAAAAAGGAGUAGAGAUAGAACCCAAAAUAAAGUUGAAUUCCCAAAUUGUUAAAUAAUUGAAUCAUCCUGUCGUGCUUUGAACUUAAAACGAGGAGAUCAAAUCUUUGAGCUCGCUAUACAUUGAUAAAAACGCGUGCUGAAUAGAACCUCCGAAACCCCCGUAACAAUGGGUAUCAAAUGAAAGGGAUUGACUAGCAGAACACGGUUAUUUAUGAAAAAUGCAAAUCCAUCAAAAUUCUACCAAAUGGCGGACUACAUAUUAUGUCAAAACACCAUUAAUAUGGGUAUCAAAUGAAAGGGCUUGAAUAGUAGAUCACAGUAGAUCAUGAAAAAUUAAAAUCCAAGAUGGCCGCAAUCACAAAAUAGCAAUAUACUUUAUUAAACGGUUUUAUUUAGCUUGAACUGUUCGUAUGUAUGUAUGUAUGUCUGUAGGAUUGUCCCACAGUAAUAGAAAUUUGACCAAUAGGAACUGACCGGAUAGGAACUGCUGUCAUUUUAAAACUGCUUAUCUUGAAAAAUCCAAUUUGGCCUCCGCUCAAAAUCGCUGAUUCCAUAUCAUCUCAAAAAAAAAGGUUGAUUGAGAUAUGUGUAUCAAACCAACGAACUUGACUUGGAGAACACACUAUGUAUUUUCUGCAAUCUACUCAAUAUCGGUAUCAAAUGAAAUUUUUUGACUGAUAGAA